ensembl:lncRNA
AACCCCCCUGAGGAGGGGGGGGCCCGUGCUGGCCCCUCCCCUAACCAGCCGCUGCAGGUCCGGCCCGAAGCUGACCCUCGCUCCAGAAUCCGGAAGGCCCGGGACGCCUCCAUCUUGACGGAGAGAAAGAGCUCCAGGAACGUCGAGAAGGAGUGAAAAGAGAGAGUCCUUGAGUCCCCUGUCUGUGCAAGUAAAUGACAAGACUCUUGUGUGACAGAAGAGGAAACUGAGGCACAGAGAAGUGACACCUCCCUGCCCUCACCUCGUCACAGCACUUCCCAGCAAGAGGAGCCCCUAAAAGCCAGCCCAGCCCUGGACCGAGGCUCAGGUUGGUGGAAGGUGGGGGAGGGAUCCCGGAGCUGUCCUGGGCCUCUAGGCCCUGCUGAAGCCCACCAGCUGUGCCUGCCUCUCAAUCUCUCCUUUUCUUGCCCUCCUUUCCUUCUCUGAUCCACUACAGAGAAGAGACCACAGCAAGAAGACAGCCGUCCACAAGCCAGGAGAGUCCUGCACCAGGAACCGAAUUGCUGGCACCUUGAUUUUGGACUUCCCAGCCUCCAGAACUAGCAGCCAGGGGCUAGAGGACUGCAGCCUGACCUAUCGACACGAACGUGUUCCAGUAAGACCCUACUCCUUGAAGAGCCCCUGGAAUGAGAAUAAAGGGAAAGGAGAGAAAGUACUCACCAAGUUUGCACCGAAGCUCCAAGUCCAGAUGUAAAGGCUCAAAGCCCCAUAUUGGACGCCAUAUGAUGGGGUUUUGGAAUAUAGGGCAGCCUGGAGUGCACAAGGAAUGUCACAUAUACCCCAUGGUGGGGGGGUCAGAUUCUGCUCUGUCCUCAGCUUGCCUUCCUUUCCCUCAUCAGAACUGUCGUCCCACCUGCCCCCCUUUCUCUUCCCAUCGCUACCGCGGCCUCUUCCGUCUCACCAGGAGGAGCAACACCCUCCCAUGGCUUGUGCCUCCCCCUAGUACCAGCGCCUGUGCUUGUUUUCGGUGCAGCAACCGGAGUGAGCUUUCAAAAGCAUAAAUCCGACUAUUGCCAAAGAAAAAAUGACUUAUGACACUUGUUAAAACGAUAAGACAAACUUUAUUCAGGACUGUCGUGAAAGGUGCAGGGGCCACGGCAAUGGGGCUUUGUACUAAGGGAGAGAGAUGGAGCUCAGCUCCGAAUAUGGCACGGAAAAGUGGGGAUUUAUAUAGCCAAAGAGCAGGACCAGCGAGUGGGAAAUCGUUAGGAGCCAGUAUGGCCGGGAAGGGGUGGAUUCUGGCUAAGCUGAUUCUUGCAGAGGACAAAGACAGGCCAGGGCAAUCAGGCACCCCCGGUCUGUGCCGGGGAUGAGGGAUUUGGUAAGAUCUUGAGGGAAGGGGAUUCUGCCUAAACCAGCUUGACAGCGUUCUUGCCAAAACCAGACUCGACAAGGACAGGGUCAGAAGCUCAGAUUCCUGCCUAGUAGAGCAGAGGGCUCAGAGGGACCGAAGUAAAGUUUGGCCAGGGAGAGAAUCUUUGUCACCAUGUCCCUCCCCUGCUCAAAACCCUUCCGCAACUUCCUGUUGCUCUUUAAAUGAAAGCCAGACUCAUCUGCUCUAACACUUGGGAUUGAGUUUACAUAAGAGAACUCCAGUAAAGAGCAUAAGCGAGUUGGAGGUGUAGAUCUGUCAGAAGACAGGGGUGGAUAUGCUGGGGUUGAUCCGGCGGGUCUGGAGUCCUGAACGCCUGGGUGUCUCUUCAGCAGGUCCCCUCUCUCGGCACCUUUGUUUUUCAUCUGUGAAAUGGGCACGACGUCAGCACCUCUGUCAGCAAAGGCGGUCGUGUCGUAGAAGUCAGAGAACUCAUGGAUGCUUAGGACACAGCCUGCUACACUGUAAGCAUUAUUAUUAUUACUUUGAAACACUUGUUGCUUAAAUGUAGGUGUGGCCCUCGUAAAGACGGUAGCCACCCAGUUCUGCUCCCUACAAUGUGC